rnacentral:rRNA from 1 species
GACGAACGCUGGCGGCGUGCUUAACACAUGCAAGUCGAACGGGUCUGCCCUGUUUUUUGCGGGGUGGGUCAGUGGCGAACGGGUGAGUAACACGUGAGUAACCUGCCCCUCACUUCUGGAUAACCGCUUGAAAGGGUGGCUAAUACGGGGUGUUCUGGCUGUGCCGCAUGGUGUGGCUGGGAAAGAUUCACUUUUGUGGUGUUUUGGUGGGGGAUGGGCUCGCGGCCUAUCAGCUUGUUGGUGGGGUGAUGGCCUGCCAAGGCUUUGACGGGUAGCCGGCCUGGGAGGGUGGGCGGUCACACUGGGACGGAGAUACGGCCCAGACUCCGGCGGGAGGCAGCAGGGGGGGGUAUUGCACAAUGGGCGGAAGCCUGAUGCAGCGACGUCGCGUGAGGGAUGGAGGCCUUCGGGUUGUGAACCUCUUUCGCCGGUGAAGAAGGUCCUGCUCUUUGUGGUGGGGUUGACGGUAGCCGGGUUAUGAAGCGCCGGCUAACUACGUG